rnacentral:rRNA from 1 species
AGCGAACGCUGGCGGCAGGCCUAACACAUGCAAGUCGAACGAAGUCUUCGGACUUAGUGGCGGACGGGUGAGUAACAUGUGGGAACGUGCCUUUAGGUUCGGAAUAACUCAGGGAAACUUGUGCUAAUACCGAAUGUGCCCUUCGGGGGAAAGAUUUAUCGCCUUUAGAGCGGCCCGCGUCUGAUUAGCUAGUUGGUGAGGUAACGGCUCACCAAGGCGACGAUCAGUAGCUGGUCUGAGAGGAUGACCAGCCACACUGGGACUGAGACACGGCCCAGACUCCUACGGGAGGCAGCAGUGGGGAAUCUUGCGCAAUGGGCGAAAGCCUGACGCAGCCAUGCCGCGUGAAUGAUGAAGGUCUUAGGAUUGUAAAAUUCUUUCACCGGGGACGAUAAUGACGGUACCCGGAGAAGAAGCCCCGGCUAACUUCGUGCCAGCCGCCGCAGUAACAC